rnacentral:rRNA from 1 species
GAUGAACGCUGGCGGUGUGCCUAAUACAUGCAAGUCGAGCGAACAGAUAAGGAGCUUGCUCCUUUGACGUUAGCGGCGGACGGGUGAGUAACACGUGGGUAACCUACCUAUAAGACUGGAAUAACUCCGGGAAACCGGGGCUAAUGCCGGAUAACAUUUAGAACCGCAUGGUUCUAAAGUGAAAGAUGGUUUUACUAUCACUUAUAGAUGGACCCGCGCCGUAUUAGCUAGUUGGUAAGGUAACGGCUUACCAAGGCAACGAUACGUAGCCGACCUGAGAGGGUGAUCGGCCACACUGGAACUGAGACACGGUCCAGACUCCUACGGGAGGCAGCAGUAGGGAAUCUUCCGCAAUGGGCGAAAGCCUGACGGAGCAACGCCGCGUGAGUGAUGAAGGUCUUCGGAUCGUAAAACUCUGUUAUUAGGGAAGAACAAAUGUGUAAGUAACUGUGCACGUCUUGACGGUACCUAAUCAGAAAGCCACGGCUAACUACGUG